ACUAGUAAGAGACGUAACUAUAAAUAUAUCAUCUAAAAGAUUUUAGAAUAGAAUAUUUUAUAUUGUGUUGGUGUAUAUAGUUGCUGGUUCUUAAUAUAGUAUUCAUUUUAUGUAUACUCCAUUAUCAGUGAUGUAUUGCUACUAUGAAAGGACGCCUUUAUUAUUGCGCAAUAACACAUACAUUUAAAGAAGAGGCUCUACGUACACUCAACAAUGAAAGAAACCUUUUCUUUAUUAUAUUUUCUAUUUUUUGGUUACAAAGUUUUAGGAAAUUUUACCCAAAACCAGCGAAAAAUACAAAUACUGGAUAUGCCAGGAGAAUACUAUAAAAUAUGUUAUCUUGAAAACAAAGAGGAAUUUGAAAUUGAAAGUGAAAUUAGCACCUUGAUAGGUGAUAAUUCUUCUACCCACAAUAUAAAGUAUCAAGUACUAAAGUUAAAGGAACAAGAGUAUAUAGAGUCAAAGACAUAAAAUCAGGCAGUAUUUAUUCAAUGCUAUGAAGAACUGUGUUAAAAGUGUUGGGUUGGCUUGGAACAAGAUGCUCUGCUAUAUACAUUUGCAUAUAUGCCAAGGUAGGACAAGACCAUCAUGCUUUUGUCACAACACUACUAUAGGUAAUGUUUAUUCUAUUGUCAUUAACUUCAUGGCUUCAAAAGAAUUAAGUAAUGCUCGUCUGCGGGGAGCAUGGACUUUGGAUAGAGGAGUACUUUAUAGUGAGGUGCGAAUAUUGCCUACAAUUUUAGAUCUAAAUGAACCUGAAAUGUUAGUGUUCCUGAAUGGCAAUCUGAUAAACCAAUCUGAAUGUCAAGAAACUGUAGACGUCUCGAAUGUUGACAUUUAUUUUAUCGUACAGAAAGUUCUACCACAGUUUUGCUUUUUAAAAAUAAAAGACUUGCAUUCAAAUCAAACUGUUGAAAAAGAAUGUAGUGUUUUGCACUAUUCAACUAGUAUAAAUGAGACAAGAGAAAUGGAGUUUACUCUUUACCUGUGUAAUAAUACAGAAUACACUAGGUCAUUUACGUGCACUAUUAGUUUGAGUAAUCCAUCAAUCGGAAAAUUGCAAAACUGCAGCCUCAACGUAAUCAAUAACGUACUAUUAGCUUUCUGUGUUGUCUUCUUUUGUGCAAGCAUGGUAAUGGCACCUAUCUUAAUCAAACAGAAUGUUAAAAAAUGGAGAAAAGCUAAAAUGAAGAAAAAGAGAGAUCAAGUAGAUGCACAAAGAAGAAACAACAACGAAGAAGAAAAAGUAGAGCUUACAAUACAGAAGGAAAUUUAGAAUCACCUAAUGGUGAUAAUGGAUUGCUUUCUACAGCGUCAUUUGAUUGAGUCCAAUUUUUACUUCGUGAAAGUUUUUGAGUUUGAACAUUUCUAUUGCCAAAUAUGUAAAAUAAUUAUGUAAAUAAUUUUGUGAAUUGAGCAUUGUACUUAAUAGUAGCAUAUCCUUGUUCUUUUUUUUUUUCCGCAUAAUUAUUUAUUUAUGCAUUUAAUGAUAUUUAAUAAUUUAUAAUAAACAGCGUAGUUUUUGAGUCCAGUUAACACGUUGCAAAGGUUGUGAUGGCAAUAUUAUUUUAUUACAGUAUCGAAUCAGGAAUAAGUUAUUAUUUAAUUGCUAAUGUUCUGAAGGAAUCGUUUUUACGUUUGCUACACUUGACGACUAGACGUAAUGAAACGAUUUCUACGUGCCUUUCUAACAUUUCCCAUCCUCACCAUUUCAAUUUAAGGACAACUAUUUGUUUCAAAUAAGUAGCCAUCAAUAUUUGAAUAUCAAUUUCUCCGUAUGGGCCUUUUCCCAAGGCAGUAAGCAUUAGGUGGGGGACUGAGCUACAUAGUGUGCUAAAAAUCGUUCUAGUACGCCAUAUAAUGAAAUAGAGAACUUUUAUAAUAAAUACAGGAUAAUUUUUUUAUUUAUUUUAUAUCCUGUAAAAUAACACGAGUUGCGUUUUUAAAUAAGCUUUUUUAUCAUACCUAAGAUUUAAAAGUAUUAUAAUGUUUAUUGGAUGGUAAUCGAAAAUAUGCCAAUGUACGUUGUCUACCUUGCUACCUGACUGUCACCUAUUUGAAUACAUGUUAUUUAUGUCUUUCACAACACGUUUUUAUAUAACAAUGAUAUUAUUUACAAUGAGGUUUGGUUCCACCGCCUGCAGUGUUUUUUUAUAUUGAGCCUACAAAGAUUUAUACAUUUUCAAAUGUAAAAAAUUUUGUCCAUAUUUACAUUGAAUUAAUGAUGUUCACAUAUCAUCGUGUGUGGACUAGAAAAUUUAAUUUAAAAACAAGAGUUUCAGAAAAAUGUACGUGAUAUUUGAAUGAUAUGUAAAUAAUUACAUACAACUUGUCUUUCAUUUACCUCAAUGUGUUUUUAAAUUAUACUAGCUAACGCGAGAGGAUCUUGUCAUUAUUUAGCCUUUUAGGUAAAAUAUUGCAAAGAGUUGGUGACAGUAGUCAACUUUGUGUUACUUCAACUAUGGCUUUAAACGAGUCCCCAUUGUUACUUUUGAAGUACAUAGCACUAGUGGCCUGCUCGUAGAGAUUCUGAAUUACUUUUAGUAUGUUUUUUAUUGACAAUGUAAUUUUUCCAUUGUCAGCAAAAGUGCUUUAUUUUCUACCAUACAGAAAUUUUUUUUAUUUUAAAUCAAUAAAAACAUGAACAAAAUGAUUUUACCUUUCUGAGUAUCCUGGAAUCUCAAAUUCAUUCACUUAAUCUGAGACCUUGUAUUAAAAACACACUUGUUCUUUUGAUUUAGUUUUGUCUGCUAAUUGUUAAACCAAUUUAAUAUAAUAUCUUACAAGACAUUGCUGGGAUAUUCCCAAACUGUGUUUUAUGGAGCCUUAGUGUUUAGCGAGACCUGAAAAUGUUUUCCACGAACUACUGGAAUAAUGAACUAGUAAGCCACCACAUGAAUUAUUCUCUGAAAAAAAAAGUGUUCCGCUCAAUACUCAGAAUGUUCUAAGUGUUCCUAUAAGGAAAACGUUUAGGAAACAUUGAAUUAAUGGAUACCUUCAUCGUUUUACCUUUAUUGUGAUGAUUUUUGAAUGUUUUCAGUUACUAAAAUGACCAGUGUUUAUUUUUUCAUUUUUACCGUUUGACCAGUCUUCAAAGCUUAAUGCAUUUGAAAUAGUAGUUCAGUAUUUUUUUUUUCAA